AUUGAACGCUGGCGGCAUGCCUUACACAUGCAAGUCGAAUGGUAACAGGUCUUCGGACGCUGACGAGUGGCGAACGGGUGAGUAAUACAUCGGAACGUGCCCAGUCGUGGGGGAUAACUACUCGAAAGAGUAGCUAAUACCGCAUACGAUCUGAGGAUGAAAGCGGGGGACCUUCGGGCCUCGCGCGAGUGGAGCGGCCGAUGGGAGAUUAGGUAGUUGGUGGGAUAAAAGCUUACCAAGCCGACGAUCUGUAGCUGGUCUGAGAGGACGACCAGCCACACUGGGACUGAGACACGGCCCAGACUCCUACGGGAGGCAGCAGUGGGGAAUUUUGGACAAUGGGCGAAAGCCUGAUCCAGCAAUGCCGCGUGCAGGAUGAAGGCCUUCGGGUUGUAAACUGCUUUUGUACGGAACGAAAAAGCUUCUCCUAAUACGAGAGGCCCAUGACGGUACCGUAAGAAUAAGCACCGGCUAACUACGUGCCAGCAGCCGCUGUAACAC
rnacentral:rRNA from 1 species